UACGAAGGGGGCUAGCGUUGUUCGGAAUCACUGGGCGUAAAGGGCGCGUAGGCGGCUUUGUAAGUCGGGGGUGAAAGCCUGUGGCUCAACCACAGAAUUGCCUUCGAUACUGCAUGGCUUGAGACCGGAAGAGGUAAGUGGAACUGCGAGUGUAGAGGUGAAAUUCGUAGAUAUUCGCAAGAACACCAGUGGCGAAGGCGGCUUACUGGUCCGGAUCUGACGCUGAGGUGCGAAAGCGUGGGGAGCAAACAGG
rnacentral:rRNA from 1 species